rnacentral:rRNA from 1 species
AGAGUUUGAUCCUGGCUCAGAUUGAACGCUGGCGGCAGGCCUAACACAUGCAAGUCGAGCGGUAGAGAGAAGCUUGCUUCUCUUGAGAGCGGCGGACGGGUGAGUAAUGCCUAGGAAUCUGCCUGGUAGUGGGGGAUAACGUUCGGAAACGGACGCUAAUACCGCAUACGUCCUACGGGAGAAAGCAGGGGACCUUCGGGCCUUGCGCUAUCAGAUGAGCCUAGGUCGGAUUAGCUAGUUGGUGGGGUAAUGGCUCACCAAGGCGACGAUCCGUAACUGGUCUGAGAGGAUGAUCAGUCACGCUGGAACUGAGACAUGGUCCAGACUCCUACGGGAGGCAGCAGUGGGGAAUAUUGGACAAUGGGCGAAAGCCUGAUCCAGCCAUGCCGCGUGUGUGAAGAAGGUCUUCGGAUUGUAAAGCACUUUAAGUUGGGAGGAAGGGCAGUAAAUUAAUACUUUGCUGUUUUGACGUUACCGACAGAAUAAGCACCGGCUAACUCUGUGCCAGCAGCCGCGGUAAUACAGAGGGUGCAAGCGUUAAUCGGAAUUACUGGGCGUAAAGCGCGCGUAGGUGGUUAGUUAAGUUGGAUGUGAAAUCCCCGGGCUCAACCUGGGAACUGCAUUCAAAACUGACUGACUAGAGUAUGGUAGAGGGUGGUGGAAUUUCCUGUGUAGCGGUGAAAUGCGUAGAUAUAGGAAG